rnacentral:misc_RNA from 1 species
UAGGUGCCAGAUUCAGGAGUGGUAUCCCAGAUUUAAAUCUGAUUCCAUAAAAACAAUGAUUCAUGAGCUGCCUGAAUCCUUUAUAGAGUAUCUUAUGGAUGAUCAUGGUCCGUUCCUUCUCCCCCUUUCCAUUGAUGACAAUGAUGCACUGCCUAAUAGGAUUCAUAAACCGGAAGAGGAGGAGGACUUUGAAGUAUCUGAAGGAUCGGAAGAUGAAUCAGAACAACCGUCACCUCCUCCUUCUUUUCCGGAACUGGAAAUGAAGAUCAAGGAAUCUAUAGAGUCCCUUGGGGGCUCUGUCUUCCCUAAGCUUAAUUGGAGUGCACCAAAAGAUGCUGCAUGGAUCAGUUCAACUGGGAAUCUAUGUUGCAACUCUUUCAGUGAGGUUGCAAUUUUACUACGGGCAUCGGAUUCUCUAGUCCAUGAUCUGUGCCAUGUGUAUGAUUCCUGCAGUGAUAAGACUGUCUCAAG